rnacentral:rRNA from 1 species
AGUGAACGCUGGCGGUAGGCCUAACACAUGCAAGUCGAACGGCAGCACAGUAAGAGCUUGCUCUUACGGGUGGCGAGUGGCGGACGGGUGAGGAAUACAUCGGAAUCUACUUUUUCGUGGGGGAUAACGUAGGGAAACUUACGCUAAUACCGCAUACGACCUACGGUUGAAAGCAGGGGAUCUUCGGACCUUGCGCGAUUGAAUGAGCCGAUGUCGGAUUAGCUAGUUGGCGGGGUAAAGGCCCACCAAGGCGACGAUCCGUAGCUGGUCUGAGAGGAUGAUCAGCCACACUGGAACUGAGACACGGUCCAGACUACUACGGGAGGCAGCAGUGGGGAAUAUUGGACAAAGGGCGCAAGCCUGAUCCAGCCAUACCGCGUGGGUGAAGAAGGCCUUCGGGUUGUAAAGCCCUUUUGUUGGGAAAGAAAAGCAGCAGGUUAAUACCCCGCUGUUCUGACGGUACCCAAAGAAUAAGCACCGGCUAACUUCGUG